rnacentral:rRNA from 1 species
CCUACGGGCGGCAGCAGUGGGGGAUAUUGCACAAUGGGGGAAACCCUGAUGCAGCGACGCCGCGUGAGUGAAGAAGUAUUUCGGUAUGUAAAGCUCUAUCAGCAGGGAAGAAAAUGACAGUACCCGACCAAGAAGCCCCGGCUAACUACGUGCCAGCAGCCGCGGUAAUACGUAGGGGGCAAGCGUUAUCCGGAUUUACUGGGUGUAAAGGGAGCGUAGACGGUUAAGUAAGUCUGGAGUGAAAGCCCGGAGGCUAAACCCGGGAGUGCUGUGGCAACUGUGUAACUGGAGUACAGGAGGGGCAGGCGGAAUUCCUGGUGUAGCGGUGAAAUGCGUAGAUAUCAGGAGGAACACCGGCGGCGAAGGCGGCCUGCUGGACUGCAACUGACGUUGAGGCUCGAAAGCGUGGGGAGCGAACAGGAUUAGAUACCCGAGUAGUC